rnacentral:rRNA from 1 species
UGAUCCNGGCUCAGGAUGAACGCUGACGGCGUGGCCUAAUACANGCAAGUCNAGCGGACAGACGAGAAGCUUGCUCCUCUGACGUUAGCGGCGGNCGGGUGAGUUAACACGUGGGUAACCUACCUAUAAGACUGGNAUAACUCCGGGAAACCGGGGCUAGAUACCGGAUAACACAUGUAACCGCAUGGUUUCAUGAUGAAAAACGGUUUUGCUGUCACUUAUANAUGGACCCGCGGCGUAUUAGCUAGUUGGUAANNUAACGGCUUACCAAGGCAACGAUACGUAGCCGACCUGAGAGGGUGAUCGGCCACACUGGAACUGAGACUACGGUCCAGACUCCUACGGGAGGCAGCAGUAGGGAAUCUUCCUGCAUAUGGGCGAAAGCCUGACGGAGCAACGCCGCGUGAGUGAUGAAGGUACUUCGGAUCGUAAAUACUACUGUUAUUAGGGAAGAACAAGGGUGUAAGUAACUAUGCAUCCCCUUGCACGGUACCUAUNGCAGAAAGGUUUCGCNCUAAA